rnacentral:rRNA from 1 species
UGCAGUCGAGGGGCAGCGGGAGUAGCAAUACUUGCCGGCGACCGGCGCACGGGUGCGUAACACGUAUGUAAUCUACCCUUUACUGGAGAAUAGCCCGAAGAAAUUCGGAUUAAUGCUCCAUAAUAUCACUGAAAGGCAUCUUUUGGUGAUUAAAGUUCCGACGGUAAAGGAUGAGCAUGCGCGAUAUUAGCUAGUUGGUGAGGUAACGGCUCACCAAGGCGACGAUAUCUAGGGGUACUGAGAGGUUACACCCCCACACUGGUACUGAGACACGGACCAGACUCCUACGGGAGGCAGCAGUAAGGAAUAUUGGACAAUGGUCGCAAGACUGAUCCAGCCAUGCCGCGUGCAGGAUGAAUGCCCUAUGGGUUGUAAACUGCUUUUAUACGGGAAUAAACCCGGGUACGUGUACCCGGCUGAAUGUACCGUAAGAAUAAGGGUCGGCUAACUUCGUGCCAGCAGCCGCGGUAAGACGAAGGACCCAAGCGUUAUCCGGAUUCAUUGGGUUUAAAGGGUGCGUAGGCGAGUUGAUAAGUCAGUGGUGAAAGCCCAACGCUUAACGUUGGAACUGCCAUUGAUACUGUCGAUCUUGAAUGUGUUUGAUGUGGGCGGAAUAUGACAUGUAGCGGUGAAAUGCUUAGAUAUGUCAUAGAACACCGAUUGCGAAGGCAGCUCACAAAACCACUAUUGACGCUGAGGCACNNNNCGUGGGGAUCAAACAGGAUUAGAUACCCUGGUAGUCCACGCCGUAAACUUUGAUCACUCGCUGUUGGCGAUACACUGUCAGCGGCUAAGCGAAAGCGUUAAGUGAUCCACCUGGGGAGUACGAUCGCAAGAUUGAAACUCAAAGGAAUUGACGGGGGCCCGCACAAGCGGNGG